GAGGGAUCUAGCGUUAUUCGGAAUAACUGGGCGUAAAGCGAGCGUAGGCGGAUUUGUAAGUUGGAGGUGAAAUCCCAGGGCUUAACCCUGGAACUGCCUUCAAAACUACAUUUCUUGAGUUUGGUAGAGGAGAGUGGAAUUCCUAGUGUAGAGGUGAAAUUCGUAGAUACUAGGAGGAACACCAGUGGCGAAGGCGACUCUCUGGGCCAAUACUGACGCUGAGGUUCGAAAGCGUGGGGAGCAAACGGGAUUAGAUACCCCGGUAGUCCACGCAGUAAACGAUGAGUGCUAGAUGUUGGGAACAUUAGUUCUCAGUAUCGCAGCUAACGCGUUAAGCACUCCGCCUGGGAAGUACGGCCGCAAGGCUAAAACUCAAAUGAAUUGACGGGGACCCGCACAAGCGGUGGAUCAUGUGGUUUAAUUCGAAGCAACGCGAAGAACCUUACCGGCUCUUGACAUACCAAUCGCGGAUCUAAGAGAUUAGAUCCUUCACUUCGGGUGGAUUGGAUACAGGUGCUGCAUGGCUGUCGUCAGCUCGUGUCGUGAGAUGUUGGGUUAAGUCCCGCAACGAGCGCAACCCCUACCUUCAAUUGCCAGCACGUUAUGGUGGGAACUUUGAAGGAACUGCCGGUGAUAAGCCGGAGGAAGGUGGGGAUGACGUCAAGUCCUCAUGGCCCUUACGGGCCGGGCUACACACGUGAUACAAUGGUGAUACAAAGGGCUGCUAAAGAGCGAUCUCAAGCAAAUCCUUAAAAGUCAUCUCAGUUCGGAUUGCACUCUGCAACCCGAGUGCAUGAAGUUGGAAUCGCUAGUAAUCGUAGAUCAGCGCGCUACGGUGAAUACGUUCCCGGGUCUUGUACACACCGCCCGUCACACCAUGGGAGUUGGUUUUACCUGAAGCUAGUUCGCUAACCGCAAGGAGGCAGCUAACCACGGUAAGAUUAGCGACUGGGGUGAAGUCGUAACAAGGUAACCGUAGGGGAACCUGCGGUUGGAUCACCUCCUUUCUAAGAGUUGUUGGUGAGUUUUGUUUACAAAAUUUAUCAACUUUUUAACUUAGUAAUUUUACAGCUUACCGUCCUCGUUUCUCUUUCAAUUUGUUUAAAACUUUGAAGCCUAUCGUAUAUAUCGGGCUUGUAGCUCAGUCUGGUUAGAGCGCACCCCUGAUAAGGGUGAGGUCGGUAGUCCGAGUCUACCCAGGCCCACCAAAUUACGGUGGUUUUUUUAGGGGCUUUAGCUCAGCUGGGAGAGCACCUGCUUUGCAAGCAGGGGGUCACCGGUUCGAUCCCGGUAAGCUCCACCAAGUUUUAAGCUUUUCCUUUUACAUCGUGAAGUGACAUCAAUACUAAAAAUAAAAUUUUUUAGAGAAUUCAAUUAAUUAAUAAAGUGCAAAAACAAAAGCAAAAGUUUGUUUUUUGUACAUAGAAUAUCAAGCGUUUAAGAGCAUUUGAUGGAUGCCUUGGCACACAGAGGCGAUGAAGGACGUAGUACGUUGCGAUAAGCUUCGGGGAGUUACGAACAAACUUUGAUCCGAAGAUUU
rnacentral:sRNA from 1 species